UACAGAGGGUGCGAGCGUUGUCCGGAAUCACUGGGCGUAAAGGGCGCGUAGGUGGCGGCCCAAGUCCGUGGUGAAAGCUCGCCGCUUAACGGCGAGUCGGCCACGGAGACUGGGUGGCUCGAGCACUGUAGGGGCAGAUGGAAUUCCGGGUGUAGCGGUGGAAUGCGUAGAGAUCCGGAAGAACACCAGUGGCGAAGGCGGUCUGCUGGGCAGUUGCUGACACUGAUGCGCGACAGCGUGGGGAGCAAACGGG
rnacentral:rRNA from 1 species